UAACCAUACCACGUUGAAACACCGCUUCUUGGACGAUCACCAAAGUUAAGCAACGUCCAGCCUGGUCUGUACCUAGAUGGGUGAUCAUUUGGGAAUGCCAGGUACUGUAAG